CUCUGAUGGAUAGGUUUGUGUUGCACCUGCUCUCCACACAAAGCUGGACCAGAGCUAAGACUACAAGGAUUUCUCUUUGUCUGAUCUGACCUAUUUGACACUUGUAAUACACCCAUCACUAUGAAUGAACAGUAUCCAUCUCCCUCUUGUUUGAGAAACAAGAAUCACGAUACAGCCCCUACAAGCAGUGCAAGUAUCAGGGACAAGCUGAGAAAAUGCUCUUCCAAAGUCCCAAC